GACCCAGACUCCUACGGGAGGCAGCAGUGGGGAAUAUUGCACAAUGGGGGAAACCCUGAUGCAGCGACGCCGCGUGAGUGAGGAAGUAUUUCGGUAUGUAAAGCUCUAUCAGCAGGGAAGAAAAUGACGGUACCUGACUAAGAAGCCCCGGCUAACUACGUGCCAGCAGCCGCGGUAAUACGUAGGGGGCAAGCGUUAUCCGGAUUUACUGGGUGUAAAGGGAGCGUAGACGGAAUUGCAAGUCUGAUGUGAAAAUCCGGGGCCCAACCCCGGGACUGCUUUGGAAACUGUGUAACUGGAGUACAGGAGGGGCAGGCGGAAUUCCUGGUGUAGCGGUGAAAUGCGUAGAUAUCAGGAGGAACACCGGCGGCGAAGGCGGCCUGCUGGACUGAAACUGACGUUGAGGCUCGAAAGCGUGGGGAGCAAACAGGAUUAGAUACCCCUGUAA
rnacentral:rRNA from 1 species